CCUCGUGAUCCUUUUAGUAUGUCAAUGCUUAUAUUUUUGAACGAACAUGUUUAGGAAGAUGAUUUCUGAUGAAGGUAGAUCAUUUUCCGAUUUUGAGAAAUGAAGAUGAUGAACAGUGAUUGAUAAUGUGGAGAAGGGAUCCCGAUCUUCCUUGAAGACGGGUGUUUACAUAGCGGAUAUAGGGGCUAAAGGUAGGUAAAAUCAGCUUAAGAAGUAUGCAUUUGAUCUUCUAGCACUGGGAGAUUUGAUAGGGAAAGACGUGUGGAAUUAUGUUAAAAAGUAUCUUCGCCUCAAGUCAACAUUCAUGUACUUCAAAACAUUCAUGAAAUGCCUCAUAUGUCCCAAAUUCAAGGCAAGUUAAUUAAA